UACGUAGGUGGCAAGCGUUGUCCGGAUUUACUGGGCGUAAAGAGCGCGCAGGCGGUCGUCCAAGUCGAAUGUGAAAGCCCCCGGCUCAACUGGGGAGGGUCAUUCGAUACUGUUCGACUCGAAGGCAGGAGAGGGAAGUGGAAUUCCGGGUGUAGUGGUGAAAUGCGUAGAUAUCCGGAGGAACACCAGUGGCGAAGGCGACUUUCUGGCCUGU
rnacentral:rRNA from 1 species